AGACAAUAUGUUUUUGAUGGAACAAGAGAGACGAAUUAAGAUUUGGAUUAAAGAAAUAAAAAAGAAAUAAUGGAACAAAACAAAAAGGGAUGGAGCGAAAUAAGAAAAGCAAAAGGAAGACAGGGAAAGUGAAGAACCGGGGCGCCAAAUUAUGUGUUUUUCAACUUUCCUUUUUCGCUUGUGUCUUUUUAGGUCUACAGUUGGCACUUUAGUUUACUGUAACUUUUUUUUGGUUGUGUCAAGCCAAACACGGCAUUAAGCAGUGCGUUAGGGAAAGCAGAGGAUUUGCGCCCGACUAACCUCCCUACCAUGACCGUCGAUUCCGACUGGCGGCGACAAGUCAAGCAACAGGCAAAGCCGGCGGCCCCCAUCGCCAUCGGCCACUUAAGGAGCUUGACCGUCGACGCCAACCCCUUUGAAAGCCUUGUCUGUGCCUCCAUCUCAGAUGGCUGCGAGUCCGAGAUAUUUGGCGCCAAGCAGGCGGUGGAGGAGAAGAGAAUGGGUGGUCCUAACAAGCACUCGAUCUGAUUGAUCCCAAGAGAUCUAAAAGGCUUCAUACCACCAAAAAUCUUCAACAUCUCCUCAUUAUAAAUGUCUGGCUGCUUCUUCUAAUUGGAGGUAUGGCUGUAAAUGAGUUAAAGGCGAGCCAAGUAGGGUUUUAUUGGAGCUCAGCUUCACCAUAUAGCCAUAAUGUUCUACCUUUCCAGACUAACCACUCACAAGAGUGGUGGGUCCCACUAAUAUUGGUUAUGACACCCACCACUCUUUAAUGUUAUGUUUGGUUGGAAGGUAUAAUGGAGGACGGAUGGAAGAGAGGAAGGAUAGAAGAAUCUUCUCUCUCAUUUGGUUAGAAGUAAGGGAAGAGAGGGAGGAUGCAAGGGAGAUGAAGUAUCCCUCCUACAAGCUCAUGAUAAAAAAAAUAAAAUUGAUUUUAAUACUUCCUUUUCUAUCAUCAAAUCAACAAUUUCGUUCUGAAGAAAAGCCUUUGUUCACCAUCUUCAGGACAAAAGCUGAGCUUAUGUUACAUCAAACCCCUCCCUGUCCUGUUAGACGAUCUCACCUGUGAGGGUUUUGAAAUCUGUGCGAGGUCUGUACUAACCAGUCUAACCACUUCCGCAACUAUCAGCGGCCCACCCCAGAGGCUUUUUCGUGGGAAUCCUUAUAGUUUCUUCUUUCAGUGUCCUUCCAUUAAUUUUCUCUCUAAAAAUUGCAUCAUUUUUUUUUUUUGUUAGGUAACUAUUUACACACAUUUUACAGUUUGUACACUAUGGGCUUGAACCCCUCACGUCCCCCUUUGAGGAAGGAGAGGAUGUACCAUUGGGUUAAUGGCCCAUUUGGGUGCCACACUUCUAUGUUCUUAAUCGCUUAGUUUAAAAGUCUCUGUUCCUUAGCUCUCUUAGGCCCUGUUUGGUUGGAAAGAAAUACAAGGGAAAGAAAGGAAAGAAAAUUGGAAAAAAUGACAUAUUGUGUUUGUAGAAAUCAUUAAAGAAAAAUAAAAGAAAUGGAGGGUUUUGUUGGGAUACAUAUUAGGCAUGAUGAUUAGGUUUUGUUAUCCUUCCAAAAAUAGGAGUAAAUGUAAGGAAACGGCUAUAAAGUUUAAUAGAACUUUUUAAAUACUGAUUUUGCCCGCCCUUUGUAAAAAACAAACUUAAAAUAUCACGAGUCCUAAGACUUGACAUGUUUUUAUUCUCUUUAACCUUUCUUAGUUUUCAAAUUGUCUUUUUUUCUCUUUUUCGUUUUAUUAUUAUUAUAUUAUUGUUAUCCUUGCAAGAAACUCACACACCCACAUGCCCCUAUAGGGACUUCAACCCUCGAUCUUUCCCUUUGGAAGACAAAUAAAUACCACUGACUAUAGCCCUUGGUAAUUGUGACUUUGGCUUGAAUGAUGUUUAGUACAAAUUUUCUUUUUUCUCUUAUUUGUUUUAUCACUUCUUACUCAUAUAUUGUCUUUUACAUGUGAAAAUGUAAUAGUGGUAAAUUUAUUAAAACAAUUAUCUUCCUUUCUUUCUUCAAUUGUUAAGUCAAUCAUUUCUUAACUUAUCAAAAAAAAAUUGUUAACACAAUCAUUUCUUUACUUUUUCCUUAUUAAUCAACCAAACACGAUUAGAGUUUAACAUGGUCUUUACCUCUUUUUUUCUUUCUUUUCAGCUAUCUUUUCUUCAUUUGCUUUCUUAUUCCUCGUUAAUCAACCAAACACAAUUAGAGCACUGUCUCUUCUUGUCCUUCCCUACCUGUUAAACCAAGCAUAGAUUUAGGAUUCGGAUCCUGUGCUGUAGAGGAUCCGUGUUGUAUACCUCUCAUUGAUGUCUUCCCGAUGAAUUGGCUUGUUUGGAAUAUCUGAAACUCUUCAAAAUGGAAGAUAUUGAGAACAACCAAUUUCCUGGUUCUAUUCCUUCCUCAUGUUCAAUGUGUCGUCAUUGCUGUUUCUGAAUCUCAGGUCAGACCAGUUUUCGAGCUCUAUACUCUUUUGCAUUUCGGACACGCCUUCACUGGAAACCAUCAAUCUCAGUCCUAAUAACCAUUCCGGUACCCUCCCAGUAUACAUGUGCAAUUAUCUUUUUUAAAAGGGAAAGUUCAGUGCACAAGCAUUGCGGGAUCUGGGAGUGUCAAAUGUAUCAAGCCUUAUCUUUGCAUGCAGAGAGGCUGUUUCCAAUCACAAUCGAGCAACCUUACUGUUGUGCCGAGGCUUGCCCUCAUAUGCAAUUCUUUUCCUAAACUUAAAAGUCUUUAUCUGUCUGAGAAUCAGUUCUAUGGUCAAAUUCCAUUCAGUAUCUAUCUACAAAUGCAGAAAGCUUCAACAUAUAUCAUUACUGGCUAACGAAUUCUCGGGAAGCAUACCUAUGGGACUCGGGAAUUUAACUAUUCUCAAUGUCUUAUAUUUUGACAACAACAACAGCAGAGGUAUGACUCUGUUCUGUUUUUGUGUACAUAUUGGGCAUUUUCCAGCAGACAUGGCAUAAGAGAUUCACUAGAAGAGUGUUUCUAAAUUAUGCUUAACUCCAUUUAAUCUUCUUGUUUAACCAAAAAAGACUUAGCAAGAGAACUAUUUCAUAAACUUGGCCUAAACCUGCAUCAUAACCCUAGCCUAGGGUUGUUACAUACUCGAGUUGGGAAAGCUUUGUUCAAACCUAUACCAAAUUCGUCUUUUUAAUUUUUGACAAAUGAGAAGAGUUUCACUGAUAACAUAAUCUCUCUUUUUUAGAUGAGAAGACGUCUAUCAUUUUGCUAGAAUGACUCUGCCUAGACCAAGCGCAACUUAAAAUACAAGAAAUCUGAUUAUAACCUUUAUACAAGUCAUCUACAGUACUAGAUUAGGAAGACCUAGCAUGCCUGAAAGUCUUACGACUACUUGAAAUAUUAUACUAAAUAAUAAUAUCAACUUAUGCUCCAAUAAUCUAUUAUGGUUCCUAGUGGUGCGUCUCAAAAAAUUUAUCUAAUUGUUUUUUGGAAGGAUGGUGCAAAAAAAGUCUAUUCUAGUUCUUUUACUUGAUUGGAAAUUCUCACUUUCACUGUUAUUUGUUGCUCCUGUCAUCAUAAUUAUCAUCGGUAUCUUUUUUUUUGUUUUUUAUAUUUCAAAAUUUGAUCUUAUGUUAAUGACGGACAAACAUGAUUAUUAGGCCACAAAUAGAACAACAUUAUAGCGGAGAUGAUUAGUAUGGUUGAAGUAUAAAGUUGUAAUUGGUUAGUGGAAAGAUGGUAAAAUAAAUAUAUAAAAUUGAUUAGGAAAAGAUGGCAGUAGAUCUUAACUAACAGAUCCUGGCAUACCUUUCUGUUAAACUAAAUCUACUAGGCUUCUCAAAAAAUAGCCUUACAGGUUCCAUUCCUUCUGCUAUAUACAAUAUAUAUUCUCUGAAAGUAAUUGAUAUCCAAAACAACAGCCUCUGUGGUUAUCUGCCAUCGGAUAUGUGUUCUCCCCUCCCUGUACUUGAAGUACUUCAUGCUACAAACAAUAAAUUGAUGGGGAUCAUACCUAGAGGAAUUGGAAACUGUACUUUGCUCAAGGAAGUGACAUAAGGUAGGAACAACUUCACAGGUAAGACCAGUUUUACUUUCAUUUUGACGUUGUCUACUAGAUUUUUCACAAACUUAAACAACGUCGAUAACAUCUUUCACUUUAUAACAUCUUUCACUUUAUGCUUAAAAGAUUAUACUAAAUAGUAAUAUCAACUUAUGCUCCAAUAAUCUGUUAUGCUUCCAAGUGGUUUAAUAAAAAAAAUUAUCUAAUUAUUAAUUUUCUGGUAGGAUGGUGCAAAAAAGUCUAUUCUAAUUUUUAACUUGAUUGGAAGUUCUCACUUUUACUAUUACCGUUGUUGUUGUUGUUGCUGCUGCUGCUUCUGUCAUCAGUUUCAUCAUCAGUAUCUUCUUCUUCUUUUUUUUUUUUUUUUUUUUUUUUUUUCUGUUUUAAUUUAUGAUCUUAUAUUAAUGACAGACAAAUCAUGAUUAUUAGGCCAAAAAUAGCAGAACAUUAUAGUGGAGAUGAUGUGUAUGGUUAAACUAUAAAGCUGUAAUUGGUUAGGAGAAAGACGGACACUAAAAAUAAUAAUUAGAAAAGAUUGCAGUUGAUCUGUGCUCCAUCAUAUCUUAGCAAACUUUUAUGUUGAACUAAAUCUAGAAGCAUGGAUAAAGGAAAUAAAAACACCUUGAUUGUGCAUUAGGCUUUAGAAUCCAUCUUUGAUUCUUUAUGGAAUGAAAAAAAAAAUAGUACAGUAACUGUUGUAGUCCAUUUAUAUUUGAAUAUGUGGGGAGUUACAAGUUGAUCAUUACUACCAUGCAGGUGAGAUUCCGCAAGAAUUGGUUUAUCUUGUUAAUUUGGAGAUACUAGGCUUUUCAAAUAUUGGCCUUACAAGUUCCAUUCCUUCUGCUAUAUACAAUAUAUCUUCUCUGAAAGUAAUUGAUCUCCAAAACAACGGCCUUUCUGGUAAUCUGCCAUCGGAUAUGUGUUAUUGCCUUCCUGUACUUGGAAGUACUUCGUGCUACAAACAACAAAUUGAUGGGGAUCAUACCUAGAGGAAUUGGAAACUGUACUUCGCUCAAAGUAGUGAGAUUGGGCGGGAACUACUUCACAGGUUCAAUACCGGAUGAAAUCGGUAACCUUAAUCUUGAGAAUUUCGGUAUCUAUGUGAAUAUGCUAAGUGGCCUCCUUCCAGCAACUGUAUCAGUUCUCAGGCCAGCUUCCGUCAAGCAUGAGCCCCUGUCUUCCCAAUCUUGAAAAUCUUCUAAUAGGAGGACAUGAAUCUUCGGAGCAAUCCCCAGCUCCAUCUCCAAUGCUUCUAAACUUACCAUCCUAGACACGCCUGACAACUUAUUGACUGGCUCUAUACCUAAUACACUUUGGUAAUUUAAGAUUCCUGCAGCGGUUUGUCAUUGGAGAAAAUGAAUUGACCAGCGAAUCUUCCACUCAUGAAUUGAGAUUUAUCUCAUCUUUGACAAAUUGUAGAGAUUUGGAAGUACCGGGGUUAUCAUUAAAUCCACUUAAUGGCAUUCUCCCAAGUUGUAUCGGUAAUCUCUCUGCUUCUCUUCAAAGGUUUACUGCAUUUGAUUGCAAAAUUCAGGGUAAGAUUCCUUAGUGGAAUUGGAAAUUUAAGUAACUUGAUAGCCUUUAAGGUUAGAGAGCAAUGAAAUAUCUGGAUCUAUUCCACCAACAGUGGGAGGGUUACAACACCUCCAACGCUCGAGUCUUUCAGACAAUAAAUUGAGUGGAUUCAUCCCAACUGAUCUUUGUUACUUGAGGAACUUGGAAAAAGCCCACUGAUGAAAUGUUUGAUGGAGAAAUGAAUUUGAAACGUUGGGUGGGUGACUCAUUAAUGCAUGGCUCAAUAACCCAAGUGGUGGAUUCCAAUCUACUAGGAGAAGAUGAACAUGACACUGAGAAGGAGCAAUGUGUAUCAUCUAUCUUGGCCCUGGCCGUGGAUUGUUCAGCAGAUUUGCCUCGGGGAACGAAUUAGCAUGAAAGAUGUUGUAGUUAGACUAGGAAAAAUUAAGAGCAAAGUUUUCUAGGGACAAUUGAUUUCAGAGAACAGUGUUAUGUCUAUGAUGCUUAAAUUGAGUAUUUAGCACGUCCUAAUAAGUCCAUUUCAUUUGAUUUUGGGUGUUCUCAACAUUCUUGUUUAUUUGUUCAGUUGGCCAUAGGAAUUAUUCCUUUAGAAUGUAAUUGCUUUCUUAUCUUGAAAUUGAAGAGAGCAAGUUCUUUUAGCUUCUUGAGAAUGCAUUUGAAAUCCUUUAAACUGAAGUACCUAAAAUUGAAAUCUAUUGGAUUUCAAAAUUUCUUGUUUGGAUUCUAAAAUAUUUAUGGAGAGGAUCUG